GAUGAACGCUGGCGGCGUGCCUAAUACAUGCAAGUCGAGCGAACGGACGAGAAGCUUGCUUCUCUGAUGUUAGCGGCGGACGGGUGAGUAACACGUGGAUAACCUACCUAUAAGACUGGGAUAACUUCGGGAAACCGGAGCUAAUACCGGAUAAUAUUUUGAACCGCAUGGUUCAAAAGUGAAAGACGGUCUUGCUGUCACUUAUAGAUGGAUCCGCGCUGCAUUAGCUAGUUGGUAAGGUAACGGCUUACCAAGGCAACGAUGCGUAGCCGGCCUGAGAGGGUGACCGGCCACAUGGGGACUGAGAGACGGACCAGACUGCUACGGGAGGCAGCAGUGGGGAAUAUUGCAAAAUGGGCGGAAGCCUGAUGCAGCAACGCCGCGUGCGGGAUGACGGCCUUCGGGUUGUAAACCGCUGUCGCCUGUGACGAAGCGUGAGUGACGGUAAUGGGUAAAGAAGCACCGGCUAACUACGUG
rnacentral:rRNA from 1 species